rnacentral:rRNA from 1 species
CCUACGGCGGGCUGCAGUGGGGAAUAUUGGACAAUGGGCGAAAGCCUGAUCCAGCCAUGCCGCGUGUGUGAAGAAGGCCUUCGGGUUGUAAAGCACUUUCAGAGGGGAAGAAAGCCUUGGGGCUAAUACCCUCGAGGAAGGACAUCACCCACAGAAGAAGCACCGGCUAACUCCGUGCCAGCAGCCGCGGUAAUACGGAGGGUGCGAGCGUUAAUCGGAAUUACUGGGCGUAAAGCGCGCGUAGGCGGUCUGAUAAGCCGGUUGUGAAAGCCCCGGGCUCAACCUGGGAACGGCAUCCGGAACUGUCAGGCUAGAGUGCAGGAGAGGAAGGUAGAAUUCCCGGUGUAGCGGUGAAAUGCGUAGAGAUCGGGAGGAAUACCAGUGGCGAAGGCGGCCUUCUGGACUGACACUGACGCUGAGGUGCGAAAGCGUGGGUAGCAAACAGGAUUAGAUACCCGGGUAGUC